UACGUAGGGGGCAAGCGUUGUCCGGAUUUAUUGGGCGUAAAGAGCGUGUAGGCGGCCUUACAGGUCAGCUGUGAAAACUCGAGGCUCAACCUCGAGACGUCGGUUGAAACCGUAUGGCUAGAGUCCGGGAGAGGAGAGUGGAAUUCCUGGUGUAGCGGUGAAAUGCGCAGAUAUCAGGAAGAACACCCGUGGCGAAAGCGGCUCUCUGGAACGGUACUGACGCUGAGACGCGAAAGCGUGGGGAGCGAACAGG
rnacentral:rRNA from 1 species